rfam:Jatropha curcas cultivar GZQX0401 scaffold502_82, whole genome shotgun sequence.
GCUGCUUCUUACUGGUGAACUCUUCCUUGUAUAAUCAAAGUGGGAGAUGUUCAUGUUUCCGAAGCAUAAAUUAAUUAGCCAGUAUUAAACAGCACAGCAUUUUCCCCAUUUUUGCUGUGUUACCUGUCUCCUGGUAUAUUU